GGUACUAGAAUUGCUCAUUUCUUAUGUUGGCCUGCCACGUGCUGGCCAAAAUAAGAAUUGCAGCUUUAAUACCCUGGGUCUCUUCAGAGAGACCCAGCAUAUUAAAACCAAUUACUGGCACCCUCAUUGGCUGCAGAGGGUGGUGGUAAGAAGCCCGGAAGCACGAGCUUCCAAGUUUUUCGCCCUUUAGAUGCCGUGAUCACACUUGAUCACAGCAUCUAAAAGGCUUUAAUAACCGCGGUCAGCAUUAUUGCUGGUCGUGGUCAUUAGCCGCGGGUCUCUGCUGUUAGAAACAGAGAAGACCCGCCGGCCAUUGUGCCCGUUGUGAGUGUGAGCGGGCGGCAUGUUUAUCCAUCGCUCCAGCGCCAUAGCAAAGGGGUUAAAUGAAUGUCGCAAAACUUAAAAUGUAAAAAGACAAAUUCCAUUAUUGCUGUUUUUUUUUCAUUCCCCCUCCCAAAAAAAAAAAAGAUUUAAAAGUUAAUCAAUGAGUCGUGUGUACCCCAAAAUAGUGCAUUAAAACGACAACUCGUCUCAUGAAAAUACAAGCCCUCUUACAGCUACAUCGAUGGAAAAGUAAAAAAGUUAUG